UACGGAGGGGACUAGCGUUGUUCGGAAUUAUUGGGCGUAAAGAGCUCGUAGGCGGCUUGUCACGUCGGGUGUGAAAGCCCGGGGCUUAACCCCGGGUCUGCAUUCGAUACGGGCAGGCUAGAGUGUGGUAGGGGAGAUCGGAAUUCCUGGUGUAGCGGUGAAAUGCGCAGAUAUCAGGAGGAACACCGGUGGCGAAGGCGGAUCUCUGGGCCAUUACUGACGCUGAGGAGCGAAAGCGUGGGGAGCGAACAGG
rnacentral:rRNA from 1 species